CUCUACUUGACUAGCUGAGAGGAGGUGCAUGGCCGUCGUCAGUUCGUACUGUGAAGCAUCCUGUUAAGUCAGGCAACGAGCGAGACCCACGCCAACAGUUGCCAGCAUGUCCUCCGGGAUGAUGGGGACACUGUUGGGACCGCCUCUGCUAAAGAGGAGGAAGGAAUGGGCAACGGUAGGUCAGCAUGCCCCGAAUUAUCCGGGCUACACGCGGGCUACAAUGGUCAGGACAAUGGGUAUCGACACCGAGAGGUGGAGGCAAUCUCCUAAACCUGUCCUUAGUUCGGAUUGUGGGCUGCAACUCGCCCACAUGAAGCUGGAAUCCGUAGUAAUCGCGUUUCAAAAUAGCGCGGUGAAUAUGUCCCUGCUCCUU
rnacentral:rRNA from 1 species